rnacentral:lncRNA from 1 species
CCCAUCAAGCAUACACCCUUGUGAAACUUCCCGUAUAUAGCACAUGCUUCAAACUUCUUAUUCUGCUGGCUACCUUGUUGAUUCCCAGCACCCACAUUUCCAUUCCACUUUCUUUUCAGGUUAUUGUUACCAUUUCCACUACCACCACCUCCAUUCUUCAACUCCACUUCAUUCUUCUUCUUUUUCUGUUCCUGAUUGAACUUGGUUACCGCC